rnacentral:rRNA from 1 species
GGCUUAUGCCUGCACCAUCGACCGACCAUGAUCUUCUGUGAAAGGUUUGAGUACGAGCAUACCUGUUGGGACCCGAAAGAUGGUGAACUAUGCCUGAGCAGGGCGAAGCCAGAGGAAACUCUGGUGGAGGCUCGUAGAUGUGCUGACGUGCAAAUCGCUUUUCGGACUUGGGUAUAGGGGCGAAAGACUACUAGUAGCUGGUUCCCUCCGAAGUUUCCCCCAGGAUAGCUGGAGCUUGAUCAGUUUUAUCGGGUAAAGCGAAUGAUUAGAGGUACCGGGGAUGAAACAUCCUCGACCUAUUCUCAAACUUUAAAUAGGUAAGACGUCUGGGUUGCUUAAUUGAACCCAGGCACUCAAUGAGAGCUCCAAGUGG